GGAAGGUGGAGGAAAGGAGUCUUAUCAGAGCUUAGCUACCUCAACCUGACUGUGGAGAAGGAGAAAAGCCUAAAUCAUCUUUGGAGGUUCUCUAUUGGACUGGGGAACAUCUAGAAAAGGAUCUGACCAUACAUGCUGUGCUUUUCAGAAGACUGCCAAAGGAAUUCACAACACAAACAAGAUGAAGAACCCCCUGGAGCAACUAGGUGGCUCAGUGGAUUGAGAAUCAGCCCCAAAGAUGGGAGAUCCUGAGUUCAAAUUUGGUCCCAGAUACUUCUGAGCUGUGUGACCCUGGAUAAAGGAAAUGAGAACUAAGGAAAUUACCUGACUUGCCCAAGCUCACACAGGUUGGAAAGAUCACUGGCAGCAUUUGAAUCCAGGUUUCCCAACCACAGUGCUAGUGGUCAUUCCACAGUAUCAGUGUCAUUUUUUACUAUAAUACUUAUUAAAUUAAACUCAGUUUAAUUAAGAAGGUUAGUCAUUAAGAGACUAGGAGACAGGAUGCAGAUGAAAUAUGUCCAGAAGACCAAAAUAAAAGUCUUCAGGAAGCAAUAUAAUAAUUAUUA
rnacentral:lncRNA from 1 species